UGAGGCAUUUGCAAGUGCUUGCCGGUAGGAUUGAACAAAAGCCCGAGCUAAAAUACCUGAGCCCAUUACAAUUAAGUUGGCAAGAAUUUUAGCUGCCAUAUAUUUGGCGCCGGAACUUCAACGUCCAGCCGUUGCAGGAGCUUGAGGAUGCCGGAUUCGUUGAACUGGUAAAGCAGCAGGCACCAAGGCAGACGCAGGCGAAAAGAGGAAGCAAAUCGUGUAUGCCGACGGAGUUUAUUUAGGG
rnacentral:misc_RNA from 1 species